AUUGAACGCUGGCGGAAUGCUUUACACAUGCAAGUCGAACGGUAGAGGGGGCAACCCCUCGAGAGUGGCGAACGGGUGAGUAAUAUAUCGGAACGUGCCCAGUCGUGGGGGAUAACGUAGCGAAAGUUACGCUAAUACCGCAUACGAUCUACGGAUGAAAGCGGGGGAUCGCAAGACCUCGCGCGAUUGGAGCGGCCGAUAUCAGAUUAGGUAGUUGGUGAGGUAAAGGCUCACCAAGCCAACGAUCUGUAGCUGGUCUGAGAGGACGACCAGCCACACUGGAACUGAGACACGGUCCAGACUCCUACGGGAGGCAGCAGUGGGGAAUUUUGGACAAUGGACGCAAGUCUGAUCCAGCCAUUCCGCGUGCAGGACGAAGGCCUUCGGGUUGUAAACUGCUUUUGUACAGAACGAGAAGGUCUCUAUUAAUACUAGGGGCUCAUGACGGUACUGUAAGAAUAAGCACCGGCUAACUACGUG
rnacentral:rRNA from 1 species